ACAGACCUCAGCUGCAUCAUCUGCCUUUGAUAUCGAGUGAUGCCUGAAACGGUCAAAGCUUCCAAAGCUGCUUGUGCGCUACUGUUAAAAUCAACCUCUUUUCCUCUCUCAUUUUUCCCCACUCAGUCUUGUGGCACUAACUGCACCCUUCAUUUCCACUUCUGCUGGGACUUGAAUGUGAAGAACGUAUGCUGCUGUUCUGAGGAUCAAGGGAUAUUAUUCCCCAGCACGUUCACACUGUUCUGUAGUACAUGGUCUAGCUGGUCCCUAAUGUCUCCCUUUCCCUCUUAGCUCUACAGUAAUGCAAUAAAACCAAUGAGAUUGAAGGUCACUGUUUGGCAAAGAAGGGAAGUUUUCUAAAGCCAUCUUUUUCUUCUGCAUGGUGGAAUAUUUUUUUGCCAUUCAUCACAGAAUUUGGACUCCCUGAAAUAGCACUUUUCAGUCCUCCAUUGUCCUUGAUUUCGUGACAAAGUCACAAGGAGAAAAAGCAAGUCUAACAGAAGGUUUACAACAAAGAGACAGAGGAGAAUGGCAAAGGUCUUUUAUGCCCUCUUGAAAAACAGCCCAGAGGCUAAAUGAAAGUGGAAGUAUUACGAUAGCUUUGAAUUUCUGCUUCAUUUUGCUUGAUAUUAUUUGCCAAAGUCAAACAAAUAAAAGUCUUGAGCAUCCUAAGUAAAACUUAUUUGUUGUGAAUCAUAGGCCACAAAACCUGAAACCAUGAAAAAUUCCCAACUUUUUGCUGAAAGAUGGAGGAAAAUUCUCAGUUUCAACCCCCAAACUUUUGGGCCAACCACAGAGCUUGAAUUAAAU